rnacentral:lncRNA from 1 species
AUACUACAGUGGGUAGCCUAUCCCUUCUCCAGUGGAACUUCCUGACCCAGGAAUUGAACCGGGGUUUCCUGCACUGCAGGUGGAUUCUUUACCAACUGAGCUAUGGGGGGAAGAUAAGUUUUGGCUAAUUUAUCAAGAAAUAGGCUGUGAUAGACAGUGGGUCUUUGUUGUUUGCCAUGGUGUGGAGUCAUAUCCCUAGGCAUGGAUUUCCUGUUAUAUUCAUACACAAAGAUUUAUUACAGACAGGAAGUGGUUAGGGAUGUGGUGGCACAGGUGUAGGGUUGGGGGUGGAAUCAGUGGUGAUCUUAGGGUUAGCUGUCUUAUGGAGGUGUAUGAGAUCAGCUGCUAUGUACUUCCUUUAGAGCUGGGCAUACAGGAUAUAUAACAGUUUGGUAUGGCUCAUUUAUUAUCCCAGUUGAGUUAAUUGGGUGAAUAUAAAUUCAAAAGCUUGAUAACCUAAUGACAAAACUAAGAUAUCUAAUCUGGCUUUCAUGAACAGAGUUGGACUGUCAAAAUUAGUAGAGAAUAAAAGGGGAUUUCUGUGACGGGAGUCAAUCUCUGCAACCUCAGCCUAAACUCUUUAGAAAAGAAUGGUUCAAUUUUCCUGCUCUGGCCCGAAGAUGGGCAACUGAAAAUGUUGAUAGUGAGGAGAAGCUUUAUUGUAACAAUAGGCAGAAUAGAAGAGCUAAAGUGCUUUGCCGUCUUUCCAUAAAGUGAUUUAUUUCUACCUUAGGUGGAAGAACUGAACACAGAAGUGAGGCUGCAUGGUUCACCUCACCUUGAAAAGCCUUGACACUGAAGAAGAUAUUUUCCAUCAGUGGAAGAGCUGAAACAUGCUUCUCUCCAGCCUUCUGAAGGUGGUCGUGGCUUCACUGUGUUUAGGAUCCAGUAUUGCCCAGAAAGUAACUCAAGACCAACCACCAAUGUCAGUGCAGGAGAAAGAAACUGUGACCCUGAAUUGCACAUAUGACACCAGUGGUACAACUUAUAGUCCAUUCUG